AGCAGCCGCGGUAAUUCCAGCUCCAAUAGCGUAUAUUAAAGUUGUUGCAGUUAAAAAGCUCGUAGUUGAAUUUCGGGGUUAGUAGGUUGGUCAUGCCACUGGUAUGUACUGGUCUCACUGAUUCCUCCUUCCUGAUGAACCGUAAUGCCAUUAAUUUGGUGUUGCGGGGAGACUGGACUGUUACUUUGAAAAAAUUAGAGUGUUUAAAGCAGGCUAACGCUUGAAUACAUUAGCAUGGAAUAAUGAAAUAGGACGUUCGAUCCUAUUUUGUUGGUUUCUAGGAUUGACGUAAUGAUUAAUAGGGAUAGUUGGGGGCAUUAGUAUUCAAUUGUCAGAGGUGAAAUUCUUGGAUUUAUUGAAGACUAACUACUGCGAAAGCAUUUGCCAAGGAUGUUUUCAUUAAUCAAGAACGAAAGUUAGGGGAUCGAAGACGAUCAGAUACCGUCGUAGUCUUAACCAUAAACUAUGCCGACUAGGGAUCGGAUGAUGUUAAUUUUUAAUGACUCAUUCGGCGCCUUAA
rnacentral:rRNA from 1 species